UCGGUCCCCAUAUGAUCACCGAAAUUAAGCAACGUCAAGCCUGGUCAGUACCUAGGUGGGAGAAGCUUUGGGAAUACCAGGUGUUGUAAG